AGUGCUUGCACUUCGCUGACGACCGGCGCACGGGUGAGUAUCGCGUAUACAAUCUGCCUCAUACUAGGGAAUAGCCCGAAGAAAUUUGGAUUAAUGCCCUAUAGUAUCUUUUUAAGGCAUCUUAUUAAGAUUAAAGGUUACGGUAUGAGAUGAGUAUGCGUUCUAUUAGCUAGUAGGUGUGGUAACGGCACACCUAGGCUACGAUAGAUAGGGGCCCUGAGAGGGGGAUCCCCCACACUGGUACUGAGACACGGACCAGACUCCUACGGGAGGCAGCAGUAAGGAAUAUUGGUCAAUGGACGAAAGUCUGAACCAGCCAUGCCGCGUGCAGGAUGACUGCCCUAUGGGUUGUAAACUGCUUUUAUAUAGGAAGAAAAACUUUCUCGUGAGAAAGCUUGACGGUACUAUAAGAAUAAGGAUCGGCUAACUCCGUGCCAGCAGCCGCGGUAAUACGGAGGAUCCAAGCGUUAUCCGGAAUCAUUGGGUUUAAAGGGUCCGUAGGUGGACAAAUAAGUCAGAGGUGAAAUCCUGCAGCUCAACUGUAGAACUGCCUUUGAUACUGUUUGUCUUGAGUUAUUAUGAAGUGGUUAGAAUGUGUAGUGUAGCGGUGAAAUGCAUAGAUAUUACACAGAAUACCGAUUGCGAAGGCAGAUCACUAAUAAUUAACUGACACUGAUGGACGAAAGCGUGGGUAGCGAACAGGAUUAGAUACCCUGGUAGUCCACGCCGUAAACGAUGGUCACUAGCUGUUUGGACUUCGGUCUGAGUGGCUAAGCGAAAGUGAUAAGUGACCCACCUGGGGAGUACGUUCGCAAGAAUGAAACUCAAAGGAAUUGACGGGGGCCCGCACAAGCGGUGGAGCAUGUGGUUUAAUUCGAUGAUACGCGAGGAACCUUACCAGGGCUUAAAU
rnacentral:rRNA from 1 species